rnacentral:ribozyme from 1 species
AGCAAUACUGCACUGGUAAGGUAUGUAUCUGAAGCCUCUUGAAGGUUACCAAAGGCUCUCCAUACCCUACUUCGACUCAAAACGUCCCCAAACAAAUUGAACGAUAACAUGUCUCUCCAAAUAUCUGAGCUUGGGUAUACGGGGAAACCCAAAUCCCUGGGAAAGAUUAGUGUUAUGGUAAAAUUGAGCGUA